UACGGAGGGUGCGAGCGUUGUCCGGAAUCACUGGGCGUAAAGGGCGCGUAGGCGGCCCUGUCAGUCGGCGGUGAAAGCCCGGAGCUCAACUCCGGGUCGGCCGUCGAUACUUCCGGGCUUGAGCACUGUAGAGGCAGAUGGAAUUCCGGGUGUAGCGGUGGAAUGCGUAGAGAUCCGGAAGAACACCGGUGGCGAAGGCGGUCUGCUGGGCAGUUGCUGACGCUGAUGCGCGACAGCGUGGGGAGCAAACAGG
rnacentral:rRNA from 1 species